rnacentral:rRNA from 1 species
AGGUAGCAUAAUCAUUUGUUAUCUAAAUGAUAACUAGUAUGAAUGGUCUGACGAGAAAAUAACUUUCUAAAAAGAAAAGAUAAAAAUUUUUUUUAAAGUAAAAAAGCUUUAUAACUUUAGAAAGACGAGAAGACCCUAGAACCUAUUCUAUCUAUAUAGUUUGUUGGGGUGACAUUUUUCAAAACAAAAAACUAUUAAAACUUUUUGACUGAUUCUCUCUAUCUUUUUUAAAAAAAAAAAAGGUACUCUAGGGAUAACAGCAUAAUCUUCUUCUAGAGCCCUAAUCGACAAGAAAGAUUUUGACCUCGAUGUUGAAUUGAUA